UAAAUCUAGCCCUACCAACCCUACACUCAAUUCUCAUAUUAUAUUAAAUCAAAACAUUCACUUACCAAAAAGUAUAGGAGAUAGAAAUUUCACUAAGGCGCAAUAGAGAUAGUACCGCAAGGGAAUGAUGAAAGAUAGUUUAAUAGUAAAAAAUAGCAAGGAUUAACCCCUUUACCUUUUGCAUAAUGAAUUAACUAGAAAAAUCUGACAAAGAGAACUAUAGCCAGAAACCCCGAAAUCAGACGAGCUAUCUGAUAGUAAUCCCCAGGAUCAAUUCAUCUAUGUGGCAAAAUAGUGAAGAAACUUACAGAUAGAGGUGAAAUACCAAUCGAGCCUGAUGAUAGCUGGUUGUCCAGAAAUAGAAUUUUAGUUCUACCUAAAACUUACCACAAAAACAAAAUAAUUCCAAUGUAAGUUUUAGAGAUAUUCAAAAGGGGUACAGCUCUUUUGACCAAGGAUACAACCUUGAUUAGCGAGUAAAUUCACCAUUAAUUUCAUAGUUGGCUUAGAAGCAGCCAUCAAUUAAGAAAGCGUUAAAGCUCAACAACCAACCAAACUAAAAAGAUUCCAAAAUUAAUUAAUGAUCUCCUAAACAUAAUACUGGACUAAUCUAUAUAAAUAGAAGAAAUAAUGUUAGUAUAAGUAAUAAGAAGUAUUUCUCCCUGCAUAAGCUUAUAUCAGGUCGGAUGCCCGCUGAUAGUUAACAACCGAAUAAUUAAAUACAAAAAUAGAACCUUUAUUAUACCAAUUGUUAACCCAACACAGGCAUGCUUAAGGGAAAGAUUAAAAGAAGGAAAAGGAACUCGGCAAA
rnacentral:rRNA from 1 species